rnacentral:rRNA from 1 species
CUCGAAUCGCAUGGCCUUGCGCCGGCGAUGCUUCAUUCAAAUAUCUGCCCUAUCAACUUCGAUGUAGGAUAGAGGCCUACCAUGGUUUCAACGGGUAACGGGGAAUAAGGGUUCGAUUCCGGAGAGGGAGCCUGAGAAACGGCUACCACAUCCAAGGAAGGCAGCAGGCGCGCAAAUUACCCAAUCCGAACGGGGAGGUAGUGACAAUAAAUAACAAUAUGGGGCUCUUUCGGGUCUCAUAAUUGGAAUGAGUACAAUUUAAAUCUCUUAACGAGGAACAAUUGGAGGGCAAGUCUGGUGCCAGCAGCCGCGUAAUCCAGCUCCAAUAGCGUAUAUUAAAGUUGUUGCAGUUAAAAAGCUCGUAGUUGAACUUCAGACCUGGCUGGGCGGUCUGCCUAACGGUAUGUACUGUCUGGCUGGGUCUUACCUCUUGGUGAGCGGAUGCCCUUCACUGGGUGUGUCGGGGAACCAGGACUUUUACCUUGAGAAAAUUAGAGUGUUCAAAGCAGGCCUAUGCCUGAAUACAUUAGCAUGGAAUAAUAAAAUAGGACGUGCGGUUCUAUUUUUGGUUUCUAGAGUCGCCGUAAUGAUUAAUAGGGAUAGUUGGGGGCAUUAGUAUUCAGUUGCUAGAGGUGAAAUUCUUGGAUUUACUGAAGACUAACUACUGCGAAAGCAUUUGCCAAGGAUGUUUUCUAAUCAAGAACGAAGGUUAGGGGAUCGAAAACGAUCAGAUACCGUUGUAGUCUUAACAGUAAACUAUGCCGACUAGGGAUCGGGCGACCUCAAUCUUAUGUGUCGCUCGGCACCUUACGAGAAAUCA